rnacentral:lncRNA from 1 species
UGCCCUGACUUUACAACUGCCUUCUUAGACACCUGGGGACUCAGCACAUUGACCCUGGACUUGGUGCAGACACCCUAUCUGCUUAGACUACUGCAGCUUGGACAGAACCCCUAAAUUCAAGAAAGCAGCUUCAGCAUCCCCAGUGCAAGGAUUACAGAGCAAGAUCCCCUCUGGAAGGAUAGAAGAAUCAUCUGCUGAAGGAUGGAGAAACCAACGAAGCUACCAAAAGCAACUGAGUUUCAGGAGACAGAGAGCUAUGGAGAACAGCAAUUUACAGAAUGACCACUGCUUUUUUGGGUAGAGACUACUACUAUCUUCUGAGAGUAGAGAGGAUCAAGGAAGAAGGAAUCCUGAUCUUCCCUUGUCCUUUGCUGGAGCUUCAAUUAAGGCUCUACUGAGUCUUAGUAAGGCCCUAUUAGAGAGAGGUCUUUUGGGGGGAAGGUUGUGAUUAUAAAACAAACUCAAAUGGAAG